ACUUGUGUUUGCAGAGCUGUAACUGGAGGCACUGGAGGUCUGAAAUGAAGAAGGUGAAGAGAGGUGGGCUUGGUGCGCUGGGCUUCUCCCCAUUAAGAAGAAUUGCAGACAACUGAAUAUGGAAAAGAAUACAAAAGCAGAGCCUGUCAGUCACCCCUGGGUGGUUGUCAGCAUCUGGAAGGAUGGAUGCAGAAGUUAAGAGCAGCCAUCUUCAUCCAGUCACCUGUGUGCCUCAGUCAGAGGGAAGAAACAAAGACAUUCGAACCAUUUGCACAACACAGAAGCUCUCCAGCAUGAGUCCUUAAAGGGCUGGAGGCUUGCUGGGGAAGCUUUGAGGAGGAGAGUCAUAAAGAACAGAAGGUUUUACGACGCAAGGUCAAAGCUGUUGAACACAAUGGCAAAGCAGCAUAGGAGAAACACCCUUUGUCCUCUGUCAUCGCUGUCAAAAACAGAGGAGGGGAAGAAGUCCCGCACACCACAUUUCAGCAAAGCCCUGAAGCAGCUCCUUGCCUCGUGCCCGCUGACCAUGAGCCCUGCUCCCAUAGGGAGCCAGCAGACCUUCACUUCAUUCGAGGCAACCUUCAUUUUGCUAGUGGCCCCGGAUGAAAGCCGGGAGCACCGCUUGCAUACAGCGGGUGAGAAGGCAGCAGGCUGGAGACCAUCACUCAUGGCUGAAAGGAUGAUCAUUGUUUGUUUAGCUCAUUCCAGAAUAAUGGCUCUGCUGGGAACACCAACCCAGUACGCAUCAGAUCUGUUAUAGUAUAUAUUAAUUUAGCGUAGACAUUAGCCCAUCGUUAUUCCCUCCUUUUAAUUCUCAUGUAUUAGCAUUCGGGAUCAGUUUUAACCCAGCACACGUCUUUGUUAUUUCACAGUGUAAAAUAAAUAAAGCUGGAGGCAAAUACAUUUUUUUUUUUAAUACAAACGAUUGUGAGAAAGUGACGGAUAUAAAGCACAGAAACGUCUUUAUAAUUUUAAAGCUUGAAUUUCAGAACACAGCGCUUUCAUUAAACGCUGCAAUCCAUUCAUUUUGGAGAGACAGAUAUAAACAGAAGCAAAUUAACUCAGUAGUUCUCAUGCCUGGAAUCUUU
ensembl:lncRNA